rnacentral:rRNA from 1 species
UACGUAGGGGGCUAGCGUUGUCCGGAAUUAUUGGGCGUAAAGAGCUCGUAGGCGGUUUGUCGCGUCUGCUGUGAAAACUCGGGGCUUAACCCCGGGCCUGCAGUGGGUACGGGCAGACUAGAGUGCGGUAGGGGAGACUGGAAUUCCUGGUGUAGCGGUGAAAUGCGCAGAUAUCAGGAGGAACACCGGUGGCGAAGGCGGGUCUCUGGGCCGAUACUGACGCUGAGGAGCGAAAGCGUGGGGAGCGAACAGG